UGACUAACAGCACCUGGGGUUAGCAGAGCCACGGAGUAAUGUUCAGGUUGAGGUACAGCUGUCCAUUUAUAAACAAUUCAUCCACCGCGAUAACAGUGCGAG